CAAUUGCGAAGGCAGCUUUCUGGAUCAUUACUGACACUGAGGAACGAAAGCAUGGGUAGCGAAGAGGAUUAGAUACCCUCGUAGUCCAUGCCGUAAACGAUGUGUGUUAGACGUUGGAAAUUUAUUUUCAGUGUCGCAGGGAAACCGAUAAACACACCGCCUGGGGAGUACGACCGCAAGGUUAAAACUCAAAUGAAUUGACGGGGACCCGCACAAGUAGUGGAGCAUGUGGUUUAAUUCGAAGAUACGCGCAGAACCUUACCAACACUUGACAUGUUCGUCGCGACUCUAAGAGAUUAGAGUUUUCGGUUCGGCCGGACGAAACACAGGUGCUGCAUGGCUGUCGUCAGCUCGUGUCGUGAGAUGUUGGGUUAAGUCCCGCAACGAGCGCAACCCUCACUUUUAGUUGCCAUCAUUAAGUUGGGCACUCUGAAAGAACUGCCAGUGAUAAGCUGGAGGAAGGUGGGGAUGGCGUCAAGUCCUCAUGGCCCUUACGUGUUGGGCUACACACGUGCUACAAUGGCAUCUACAACAGGAAGCAAAACGGCAACGUUAAGCAAAUCCCGAAAAGAUGCCUCAGUUCGGAUUGCACUCUGCAACUCGAGUGCAUGAAGCUGGAAUUACUAGUAAUCGUGGAUCAGCGUGCCACGGUGAAUGCGUUCCCGGGUCUUGUACACACCGCCCGUCACACCAUGGGAGUUGGUUCUACCUUAAGGCAAGGUUUCAAACCCUUGACCACGGUAUAGUCAGCGACUGGGGUGAAGUCGUAACAAGGUAACCGUA
rnacentral:rRNA from 1 species